rnacentral:rRNA from 1 species
UACGUAGGGUGCAAGCGUUGCCCGGAUUUAUUGGGCGUAAAGGGCGCGUAGGCGGCUCUGCACGUUCGUUGUGAAAUCGCCCGGCUCAACUGGGCGGGGUCAGCGGAUACGGCAGAGCUUGAGCAAGCUAGGGGGCAAUGGAAUUCCCGGUGUAGUGGUGGAAUGCGUAGAUAUCGGGAGGAACACCAGUGGCGAAGGCGGUUCUCUGGGCAUUACCUGACGCUGAGGAGCGAAAGUGUGGGGGGCGAACAGG